UGAGGUUCGCUUAACCGCGAUCAAUAGGGAAUGUGAGUGAGAAUCUCCGACUGUCCCGCAGCUGUGAGUUCCUUUAAGCAUUAGCCGUCAAAAAAAAACAGAAUCCACUGCCCUUCUGAACACAAAACGGGCGGGAAGGAGACGGCCGAUGGGAACGAAGUCAGAAGACCUGCCUCGGUGA
rnacentral:ncRNA from 1 species